AACCCAACUGCACAAGCAGUUACUGUUAACUGAAUACAUAGGUUAACAGAGCAAACCGGGGGAACUGAAACAUCUAAGUACCCCGAGGAGAAGAAAUCAACCGAGAUUCCGGUAGUAGCGGCGAGCGAACCUGGAUUAGCCCUUAAGCACUCGGUGAAGUAGGUGAACAAGCUGGAAAGCUUGGCGAUACAGGGUGAUAGCCCCGUAACCGACGCUUCAUCGAGCGUGAAAUCGAGUAGGGCGGGACACGUGAUAUCCUGUCUGAAUAUGGGGGGACCAUCCUCCAAGGCUAAAUACUCCUGACUGACCGAUAGUGAACCAGUACCGUGAGGGAAAGGCGAAAAGAACCCCUGUGAGGGGAGUGAAAUAGAACCUGAAACCGUGUACGUACAAGCAGUAGGAGCACCUUCGUGGUGUGACUGCGUACCUUUUGUAUAAUGGGUCAGCGACUUAUAUUCAGUGGCAAGGUUAACCGUAUAGGGGAGCCGUAGCGAAAGCGAGUCUUAACUGGGCGCUCAGUCUCUGGAUAUAGACCCGAAACCGGGUGAUCUAGCCAUGGGCAGGUUGAAGGUUGAGUAACAUCAACUGGAGGACCGAACCGACUAAUGUUGAAAAAUUAGCGGAUGACUUGUGGCUAGGGGUGAAAGGCCAAUCAAACUCGGAGAUAGCUGGUUCUCCCCGAAAGCUAUUUAGGUAGCGCCUCGGACGAAUACUACUGGGGGUAGAGCACUGUUAAGGCUAGGGGGUCAUCCCGACUUACCAACCCUUUGCAAACUCCGAAUACCAGUAAGUACUAUCCGGGAGACACACGGCGGGUGCUAACGUCCGUCGUGGAGAGGGAAACAACCCAGACCGCCAGCUAAGGUCCCAAAGUAUUGCUAAGUGGGAAACGAUGUGGGAAGGCUCAGACAGCUAGGAUGUUGGCUUAGAAGCAGCCAUCAUUUAAAGAAAGCGUAAUAGCUCACUAGUCGAGUCGGCCUGCGCGGAAGAUGUAACGGGGCUAAGCAAUACACCGAAGCUGCGGCAAUGCCUUUUAGGUAUUGGGUAGGGGAGCGUUCUGUAAGCCGUUGAAGGUGGUCUGUAAGGGCUGCUGGAGGUAUCAGAAGUGCGAAUGCUGACAUGAGUAACGACAAAGGGGGUGAAAAACCUCCUCGCCGGAAGACCAAGGGUUCCUGUCCAACGUUAAUCGGGGCAGGGUGAGUCGACCCCUAAGGUGAGGCCGAAAGGCGUAAUCGAUGGGAAACGGGUUAAUAUUCCCGUACUUCUGACUAUUGCGAUGGGGGGACGGAGAAGGCUAGGUGGGCCAGGCGACGGUUGUCCUGGUUCAAGUGCGUAGGCUUAAGAGUUAGGUAAAUCCGGCUCUUUCUAAGGCUGAGACACGACGUCGAGCUGCUACGGCAGUGAAGUCAUUGAUGCCAUGCUUCCAGGAAAAGCCUCUAAGCUUCAGAUAGUCAGGAAUCGUACCCCAAACCGACACAGGUGGUCGGGUAGAGAAUACCAAGGCGCUUGAGAGAACUCGGGUGAAGGAACUAGGCAAAAUGGUACCGUAACUUCGGGAGAAGGUACGCUCUUGAUGGUGAAGUCCCUUGCGGAUGGAGCUGACGAGAGUCGCAGAUACCAGGUGGCUGCAACUGUUUAUUAAAAACACAGCACUGUGCAAAAUCGCAAGAUGACGUAUACGGUGUGACGCCUGCCCGGUGCCGGAAGGUUAAUUGAUGGGGUUAGCGCAAGCGAAGCUCUUGAUCGAAGCCCCGGUAAACGGCGGCCGUAACUAUAACGGUCCUAAGGUAGCGAAAUUCCUUGUCGGGUAAGUUCCGACCUGCACGAAUGGCGUAAUGAUGGCCACGCUGUCUCCACCCGAGACUCAGUGAAAUUGAAAUCGCUGUGAAGAUGCAGUGUACCCGCGGCUAGACGGAAAGACCCCGUGAACCUUUACUACAGCUUGGCACUGAACAUUGAACCUACAUGUGUAGGAUAGGUGGGAGGCUAUGAAGACGUGACGCUAGUUGCGUUGGAGCCGUCCUUGAAAUACCACCCUUGUAUGUUUGAUGUUCUAACUUAGCCCCAUUAUCUGGGGUGAGGACAGUGCCUGGUGGGUAGUUUGACUGGGGCGGUCUCCUCCCAAAGAGUAACGGAGGAGCACGAAGGUGGGCUAAUCACGGUUGGACAUCGUGAGGUUAGUGCAAUGGCAUAAGCCCGCUUAACUGCGAGAAUGACGGUUCGAGCAGGUGCGAAAGCAGGUCAUAGUGAUCCGGUGGUUCUGUAUGGAAGGGCCAUCGCUCAACGGAUAAAAGGUACUCCGGGGAUAACAGGCUGAUACCGCCCAAGAGUUCAUAUCGACGGCGGUGUUUGGCACCUCGAUGUCGGCUCAUCACAUCCUGGGGCUGAAGUCGGUCCCAAGGGUAUGGCUGUUCGCCAUUUAAAGUGGUACGCGAGCUGGGUUUAGAACGUCGUGAGACAGUUCGGUCCCUAUCUGCCGUGGGCGUUGGAAGAUUGAAGGGGGCUGCUCCUAGUACGAGAGGACCGGAGUGGACGAACCUCUGGUGUUCGGGUUGUGUCGCCAGACGCAUUGCCCGGUAGCUAAGUUCGGAAUUGAUAAGCGCUGAAAGCAUCUAAGCGCGAAGCGAGCCCUGAGAUGAGUCUUCCCUGAUACUUUAAGUAUCCUAAAGGGUUGUUCGAGACUAGAACGUUGAUAGGCAGGGUGUGUAAGCGUUGUGAGGCGUUGAGCUAACCUGUACUAAUUGCCCGUGAGGCUUAACCA
rnacentral:rRNA from 1 species